UGGGGAAUUUUGGACAAUGGGCGCAAGCCUGAUCCAGCCAUGCCGCGUGCGGGAAGAAGGCCUUCGGGUUGUAAACCGCUUUUGUCAGGGAAGAAAUCUUCUGAGUUAAUACCUCGGGAGGAUGACGGUACCUGAAGAAUAAGCACCGGCUAACUACGUGCCAGCAGCCGCGGUAAUACGUAGGGUGCAAGCGUUAAUCGGAAUUACUGGGCGUAAAGCGUGCGCAGGCGGUUUUGUAAGACAGAGGUGAAAUCCCCGGGCUCAACCUGGGAACUGCCUUUGUGACUGCAAGGCUUGAGUGCGGCAGAGGGGGAUGGAAUUCCGCGUGUAGCAGUGAAAUGCGUAGAUAUGCGGAGGAACACCGAUGGCGAAGGCAAUCCCCUGGGCCUGCACUGACGCUCACGCACGAAAGCGUGGGGAGCAAACAGGAUUAGAUACCCUGGUAGUCCACGCCCUAAACGAUGUCAACUGGUUGUUGGGAAGGUUCCUUCUCAGUAACGUAGCUAACGCGUGAAGUUGACCGCCUGGGGAGUACGGCCGCAAGGUU
rnacentral:rRNA from 1 species